GUGGUCACUACACCGACGACAAAGCUGUUGUUGCUUCCAUUUUACUGAAGACUUACUUUCGCCAACUUCCCAUAAAUAUUACAAAUUAGUUAUCCUCGCCAUGGAAAUAUCUUUGGCAUACGCAUUUGGCGCAUGCCGUUUCUGUGCAAGUAUGUGGCCCUGAUAUUGACAGACCCCAUACCAAUGGCUGCUGCUUGGGACUUUUCCUCUCCUUUUGUAUAGACUGGCGUAUGAUUAUCAAUGCAUUGGCCAUCUCGCCUUCACAUUUGUACUUUCUAUCGAGAAUGUACUCCUCGACCUCCACACAAUGUUAGCCCCGCAGUUCCAGCUUCCUAUACACCAGCUGCUUGCCGUGAUUGCUAUGCUAGUAUUUUUGGGAGUUAUAGUUGUUGUGGCUAGUGCUGUAGAUAUCAAAUAUGAUGUUAGCGCGAGUAG
rnacentral:sRNA from 1 species